AUGUAUGAGACAGAGAAUAUGAAUAUGGAGAAAAACAGCAGAAAAGCAAGAGGAAAAAUGAUGGAUAAAGACAAAAGAGGAAGACCUCAGGGACAGUGGCAUGAAUGUGGCUGGAUAAAGACAGGGAGAAAGGACAGGAAGAAAUGAGGAGCAGGAAGAAGGUUCUGGGAGAGAAAUAACGAGGCCAAGAGAGCUGUGCCAGGAGCUGGUGGAGCGGGCAGAUGGAACAACCGAGACAGAGAACAGAGCCACAGAGGAGUGGGCACGCAGUGAGGCCUGGCAGCCAAGCCCUGUAGGUUUCCGUGGGAAGCAGAUGCUUACAGGGAGCAGCAGCCGAUGGUCCCCAAGCACGUGGAUCCUUGUUGACUCCAGGCCCAGCUCUGCCUCCUCGGCAGCCAGCCUUAGCCUGGAGGAGCAACCCAGGUCCAGAGAGGCAGAUGAAUGACAGCCCUGCCCCUGUCGGGCCCCAUUUCUUCUCCUCCAUUCUCUUCCAGGCUCCACCACCCCCUCACAAGUCCCAAGGAAGCCAUGAGCUGCCACAUCACACCAGGAACGAAGCAGGCUACAUUGGAGGGAUGAGGAAACUGAGGCCAGAUUUGAGUAUCUAUUUAUUGAAGGCGUCACAAGGCAUAUGAGGUUAUGCAAAGACAAAUGAGCAAAAUAACUCCUUAUGAACCCGCCUGAGCUGAGAGCCCAGGCUCCCUGACUCCUGGUGCUGCAAUCCUACAUGACACUGCUUUGCAUCCUCAACUCCAAAGGAGGAGCCUGGGCCAGGGGAAGAAGUUUCCACCAGAGGAUGGUGCUUGAGGAAGGAGUAAAGAAAGGAGCUCUGGGCGAUUCUGUGAUGGAGUAGAUUGUCACCUGGCACGUAUGCAUAUGGGAUGUGCAGCCUGGUCUCUAGUUGAAGAAACAACGGCCCAGAGACUCACCAAACUCACAGAACAGAAAGUGGGCAGGAUUCUACCUCGGGCAGCCAAGAGCAGAGCCCACACCACAACCAAGGCCGAGGCGGAUGUCCCAGCCCACACAGGGCACAAAAGGAAGGAGGAAGAGGAAGCCACGUCCCAGAGCUACCCCACAGGAGGGCGCCCCAAGUGGAGAGGCGUGGUGGCCUGAGCACCCACCUUCUAGAGAUCUCACUAUAAUCCUGGACGUGUGACACUUUCCUAGGCCCACAGCCCAGGAGCCACUGCCUCAGACUUGCUUUGAAGUUUUAGACCCCCACCCUCGAGUGGAUGGAGGCAGAGGCCCUGAAAGAAGGAAGGACUCCUCGAGGCCCCUCGGCGGACAAGUCACAGAGCAAAGAUGCCCGCUCUGGGCUCCGGAUGUCCAGCAGCCGUCUGCAACUUUGAAGUGAUUGGAGUUCCUGUGGCUGCUGUGGGCAGACGGAGGGACUCCAGAAGCCCCGGCAGACUUGAUCAGUGCAGAGCCUGAGUCUCCUUGCAACCCCAACCCCCCUCCACCUUUGAAUGAGCUCUGAAGAAAAGUGAAAGGGAGUGGGGAGAAACCCAAGCCAUCACCCUGUCAGCAGGGGAGCAUGUGAUGCGUCCUGACUUGUGCUCACUGCUGAGGAAGACACUAGAAGGUGUCAUUCCUACCCUCCCAAAUAUUGCAAUCUAAUUGGGAGGGCAAGAUGAAUAGGCAGAGGACAACAAAAGAUAAGUGAAGAGGCCCAGUGUAGGACCAGGAGCACUGGAUAAGAGUUCUAUUCCAGUGCCUUGGGGUCUGAAGCAGGUCCCCACACCUAGAAAAGCCCAGCUACCUCAUCCAUAUAGAUUUCUUCUAGUUGUCUGGAUGAUGGAUGGCAGUAGCACUUCUGAUGGAUUGGUGCUGCCUGCCCGAAGCACUGUGUUGAAAAGGAUUCUGAGGCAGCAUUCAGGCUCAGCAAAAGGGCUCUGGUUAAUUAGUGGUCUUCUGAUGAAUGCUAAAGGAUGCUGCGGCACUAUCAUUGCUAUUAUUAACCAUUCCUGAUUAAGAGCAACUGCCUGGGGUCAUUUGUAAGGAUUCUCCCAGCUCUCAAAUCUAUGCUUCUGUGAUUUAAAUGUUAAAUUUCAAGGCACUGGUUGGAAGCUCAAUCAGAAGAGGAAGAGAUGUGUGUGGGUUCGGAUCAUCAGGGAAGACUUUGGGAAGGAGGCGGCACUUGAGCUGGGCCUCCAAGUGGGGGAGUGUGAGGAGCUGAACAGGAGGUUGGCUCCUGCGUCAGACAGGACACUCCGGGCUGCAUCCUCUGCCUGGAGAGUGAGGCCACAAGAGAGCAGAGACGGGGCUCUGCCUGCCCACAGCACUGGAGAGGACUCACCGCCAGCCGUGCCCUGGAGCUUCCCUGCUGCUCAGGCUCGCACAGAUGUGGGAGUCUAGGGUGCUGUGGGGCCCUGGCUUUGUCCACACCACCCCUAUCUGAUGUUGGACUAAGAGGAGAGAGUGGAACACCCCCAGAGGCACUGAGGCAUUCCCAUGGGGUUCAUAAAGAUAACCCAAACCUUUUUCCAGUGGGAAUAAAUGUCCGUGGCCUUUAGCCCUCAAAGUGCUACUUCCUAAGGGGAGGCCCAGUCACACGUCCCAGCAGUUAGGAGGGCUGGAACCGGUAAGUGCCUCUGCAGAAAGAGCAGCAGCCAUCUGACCCAUCGUACUCUGUUCGUCUAUAGAGUGAAGGCCUCAUUACAUAAAGUCCCAGCUGACUUCAUAUAAGCUAUGACUAAGAAAACUUUCCAGAGACAGUUGGUGGUCCUCCGUCCCCCGCAGACUGGUGAGAACUACCCCCACAGGGAGGGAGCAGAGAUUAAGGCUCCUAGCCCCAUGGCCCUGAGUCAUCUCGCACAAACACUCCCCAACACUCUCCCAAAAUGGUUCCUCCCACCCGUUCACCCUCCUACCCGGGCUGGGUGACAGAAAUGAACACCCCGGAGAUCGUGCCUAGUUCUGGGCAGGCUGAGCCCAGAGAACAUGAAAUUCCCCAUAGAAUGAGGAGGCCAGACCCCCCCCACAGAAGCAAAUAAGGUCCAUUCAAAGGAAAGUCGCUACCUGACCCCACCAUAAUCACUGUAUUGUUUCUCAAAAGAGCUCAAAGCUCUGUAAUCAUAAAAUAUUAGAGCUUAAAGCAAGCUUAAAGAUUAUUCUAACCCCAUCUCUCCUUCCCUAUUUCCAGGAAUCUGCCCAUCCAAGCAUUUAUCUAUCUAUUUACUCAUUAAGCAGUUAAUUGGGUCCUACGAUUUGCCAUGUGCAUGCAGGCAAUGGGGACCAACAGACGUGGUCUUUUCUCAAGAGCUCAUCAUCCAGUGCGUGAGGAAGGCAAAUGUCAUGUAGUGCCAUAAGUACUAUGACAUGAAGAAUGCAUGUCCUAGAAGCUCUUAAAAUACUGGGACACUGUGCACAGAACUCCCUUCAAACAGGCAAGCGCAGAGCAAACAGCUAAGCAUUUAAAGCCAGCAUUUGGCAAUUAAAGGGCUGGGCGGGUGGCGGGUAAGGAAUUGUAAUAGUAAGAGCCGGCCACAAGGUGGCGCCUGAGGCUGGCGGAAGGGUUCGUCCAGGCUGGAAACGGACCCCAAACUCCCGCCCCAGCGAGGCAGGGACUCAGGCAGGACCGCCCCCUCCUGGGAGG
ensembl:lncRNA